GGAACUGUCUGUUGAAGACCCCCCCCCCCCACCAAGCUGCCCACCAGAGGCCAAGCUGUACUUGGUGUUUGCCAACAUGCUGUAAUUUCCAGCCUGGUUGCUGUAGCCACAGAGGAAUUUUCAAGGACAAGAACCAGUGCUGGUAAAACUGUGGUCUCGUGUGGUUUUCCAUACCGGCUCUCGGCAAGGAUUUUCAAGAAAGGAAUACCAUCUCCAAAUCAUGAUGUGCCAAUAAGCUCCAGUUAGCUGCGGCCUUUUCCCCAGGCGGUAGUCCUGCAAUCUGAAUCCAGGAGAUGCAGCUCUGAAUCCAAUAUUUCAGAAGAAUGAAGAUGUUAGUCAACUCUGUAGUACUUGUUUGUGUGUAAAUGAUUCCAAUGAGUGAGAUUUAUAGCAAAUCAGGUGUAAAUAAGCAUCUUAUAGACAAUAGUGAAGUGCUGUACUCUGAAUUUAAUGCCAAAUCUAGCCUUCAAAACAGAUUCUUAAAGUAAUUUUUUUUUAAAAAUGGGCAUAAUAAUGCUAUCUCUGCAUUUUCUACAUCAUGUAGCCACCUCAUACAUGAAAACACUAGCAGUUGUCAUGAAUCUUUAAGUUUUGGUGUGUUUUUUGCCAUUUCCUUUGUUGCGCCAUUUGUCCCGGAAGCCAACAAUUUGGCAUAUAGUGUUGUUUAGACUGUCUAUUAACACAUGAUCACUAAAUUUCUUGUGUUAAACUGGACAGUUCUGUUACCUUUGUA